AUCUGAUGAUGAGGGAAACUUGUACACAAUCUCUUAAACCUCUCCCAGUAGUCAUAUAAGCUCUUACCAUGUUGCUGUCUAAUUCGAGAGAUGUCCCUUUUGAUU